CGGGACCCACUGCCAUAUCAUCUUCGUCUUCAAGCUGGACACGAACAGACGACGACUGCUGCGUUUUUCAGUUUCUGUGUGUUUACUCUCCAAUUCAUUCUGGGCGUUUUAAGGCACCAUUUGACGCACCGUUUCUUCCUACUUAAGCUCCAUUCCCUCCUCUUCAUUUCCCCCCAAACGGCACGCCUAGAGAGCCCCCAGGCUGCUCGAAUUUUGCCUCGCAUGUCCGCAGUACCGUCGCGGUAAAUCGUCGAUUGCGCGACGGCGCCAUCUUCGACUGUGAGCACGUACGCGAGAGGUUUUCCGGCGAGCAACUCCGGCGAACCAGUGCACCGUCGACAUCCCCUGAACCGCCGCAGUGAGCCGCCCCUUGUCUGCGCCUCGGCCGAGCCGGGAAGCGCCUGGAACGCCAACAGCGAGAUCGACCAGGCCGCAGCCUCCGUCACCACCAUCACCGGCGCCACGUCACCAUCGCCACCUCGUCACCACGUCGCCGCCACAUUGCGACUGUGACAGCUGCAAGCGUUGUGACUGCGAAGAUUGCAACUCUUCCCUCUGAAAAGGCAAGUGACACACACCAAAAGUCCCAGUUUUAAUUCUUGCACCGUAGUGUUUUAUAGUAGACAUGUCUAGGGUUUAUGCUUUAUGCCUGCUAAUAAAUCCUAGUAGUUUAGCUACACCACUCCUAGACUCCUUUAGCCGCCAUUAAAUUUAGUUGUUACCUGCUAUGCCAUGGAAAAUGUUUUGAUAGAGGUUAAGGAAAAACAACUAAGUUUAAUGAAUUACCUGGGUGAAUGGUGGAGUUAUGGAGAGGGUGGCUGUAUCAGGGGGCAAGACCCUGGUGCUAGUGCACACUUGCGGAAAGUCACCCAGGCUUAAAGAGAUUGUAGACAAACCUUGCUCAUUAGCUUCCCGUACAACCACAUGCUACUAUGGCUCUGGUUUGACAAAGUAUGUUG